UACCAGCACCCCGAGUGGUCGGGACGUUUAUUGGGCGUAAAGGGCUCGUAGGCGGCGUGUCGCGUCGGGAGUGAAAGACCGGGGCUUAACCCCGGUUCUGCUUCCGGUACGGGCAUGCUGGAGUGUGGCAGGGGAGACUGGAAUUCCUGGUGUAGCGGUGGAAUGCGCAGAUAUCAGGAGGAACACCGGUGGCGAAGGCGGGUCUCUGGGCCAUUACUGACGCUGAGGAGCGAAAGCGUGGGGAGCGAACAGG
rnacentral:rRNA from 1 species